AACGCGAAGAACCUUACCUGGGCUUGACAUGUGCCUGACCGGCGUGGAAACACGUCUUCCCUUCGGGGCAGGUUCACAGGUGGUGCAUGGCUGUCGUCAGCUCGUGUCGUGAGAUGUUGGGUUAAGUCCCGCAACGAGCGCAACCCCCGUCGCAUGUUGCCAGCAUUUAGUUGGGGACUCAUGCGAGACUGCCGGUGACAAACCGGAGGAAGGUGGGGAUGACGUCAAGUCCUCAUGCCCCUUAUGUCCAGGGCUACACACGUGCUACAUUGGCGUAUACAGAGGGCUGCGAUACCGCGAGGUGGAGCGAAUCCCUUAAAGUACGUCUCGGUUCGGAUUGCAGGCUGAAACUCGCCUGCAUGAAGGUGGAGUUGCUAGUAAUCGCGGAUCAGCAUUGCCGCGGUGAAUACGUUCCCGGGCCUUGUA
rnacentral:rRNA from 1 species